CUUGUCCUCCAGCCCGUCCACCACCGCACACCUGUAGAGGCCCGUGUCAUUCAGCUGGAGGUCUGACAUCACAAGCGCAGCAUCGCCCGUGAAUUCCUGCCUGAGCUGCACACGACCCCUGAACGACAGACAACCACACACACACACAAGCGGCAGACACCCAGGACCAUUUAACUCUGGCCGCCCUUGGAGAGCUCAGCUCAGGUUCAUACCAAAACCUGCAGGGGAGUGUGGCAUUACCGCCUCUGACUCCAAACACCGACAGCUGAGCAGUGUCCACGUGGAGCUUCACGCCACUGAAAUGAACUGCAGGAUACAUAUAAAGUGGCACGCUUGUAAUGAAGCCCUGCCCCUAAACCUGAGACCUUGCACCAGCAACUCUUUCUGAAGUACAUCAGUCUCUUUGCACAGACACAGACACAUGUCUCAUGUCUCCAUCUGUCUUUGCACACCUCUGGCUUCCUGCCCUUGAAACUAUGUCGUCUUAAAAAACUGUGAUCUUUUAUAGGAAACCCUGUUAGAUUAUGGAAAACAUGGAACACACAUCCGCAUACGUUGGACAUGCACAGUGAAGAGAGAUGCAUUAGAGGUAUACUCUACGCCAUGUAUGUCUCUCAGAUGAAAGCUGUUGCCAGGGGCCAAACAUACCAGGACCGUGAGCUUCACCAGGUGAUGAGGGGCUAACAAGGUGUAAUUACUCUUGUAAACAGCAGGUCAGAGUUUGCAGUCGGGGGCCUUCAGAUGUGACUGAACUAAUAACAUGCUGCUUUAAUUCUAUACAGCUCUGUGCAGUCUCUUCUGUCUGAUUUGGUUGUUUGAGUCCACUUUGGGGACUGAUUCCUUUACCCCGAAUGAGCAACAGUGCUGUUAAUUUUUUAAAAAACUAGUUGAAAGUUGAAAUCUAUGUCACGUCUUUGCAGAUGCACAGAAGUCAGUCAGCGUGUACAUGGACACAAGUCUCUUUUUACGCAUGCGCUUAUAUUGGGCACCCCAAAUGUUACCAGGGAAACACUUCAUUUAUUCUGCACUUUAAUUACUUACUGUAUGGCCUGGGAUAAAUACUUUGCUCAUCUAUGUUAUCAUACUGUACAUUUCUGCACAUCAGCAGCAUCACAGUCCUGGAGGAAGUUUACCUUACUUUGUGCUGCAUUCAGGAUUACAAGAAAAACCCGUAAGAUUGCAGCAGUGUUGGGGCAUUGCUGAUGGAGAUAACCAACGGAUAUGAAAGUAACAAAUUUGCAAAGACAGUUAAACCUCACUAAGAUGUCUUGAAAUGCAAAAACGUGGCCCAUUUAAAUGUAAAAAAAAGACACCUUCUCCAGCUUUAUUGUUAUUUAUACCCCGUGAACAAUUUAUUAUUUUGUUAAUUUUACCCUCUUCUUCACGUCUCACUUUGUCAACCUUGUCCGUGACUUUGCUGACAAGUCUGCUCCUGCAGAAGUUAUCCAUCAACAACAUCCCCUCAGACCGUCGUUUGACUAAAUGGGACUCUCUGCGACCAGCAGCAAGAGCAGCUGCCCUCCAAUGUGACAGCUCAUACAAAAAGCAUGAGUAACACGUAUAACUGACUCUUGAUUGAAAAGUUAUGGAUUUAUUUUGACAUUUAAUAAAUGACGUCAGCUGAAAAAUGUAAAACAACUUUUAUUUCCCCGACACAUCCUUCUACACAUUUCACAUUAGUUGUAAAAAGGAUUAAAUUACAAUGAAAUUACAUGAAAUAAUGAAGCAGAAAAAAAAAAUGUCAGAGUGUGUAAAAAAAGCAAACUUCAAGUGAGAAAUCAAUUUUCUACUCUUGGACACACUUCCUGUUCCUGAAUCUGUAUUGAACGGUCCCGGCAUAAUUAUCCUAGUUUGUGUUUGCAUUCUUAGAUGGACUUAAUUAUACAGAUCAAAUCUGUGCAAAAGUUACAUAGACG